AUGAUAUUGAAGAGGCCCUGCCCUAGCAGCAUUCUUCAUUCUGUUUUUGAUAACGACGUCGUUUGCUAUUUCUUUUGUCUUCAUAGAAGAGGCUCUGCCCUAUCAGCAUUCAUCAGUCUCCACUCCCGUCGCCGCCGUAUCGGCACACCCGCCCUCCCUCAACCGCAACGUCUCCAUUGUCUCCCAGAGAAUGACGAAUAA